CGGGGCGUAGCUCAGCCUGGUAGAGCGCCAACUUUGGGAGUUGGAUGUCGCGAGUUCGAGUCUCGCCACCCCGACCA
rnacentral:tRNA from 1 species